AUGCGCACUUGUGUAACUACGUCGGUCUUGUAAUGUUGUAGGUGAGACAUGUGAUAUGUUCUGAUGUGUAUGUUGGAAGAAAUGAUGUUUUUGUUGUCAGUUUAGACGGUUUAGACUUUCUGUUUAUUGAGUCAUAGGUAGUUACUUUCUCAGCUACAUAGCCGAAUGAAAUAAGGUUUUUGCUGUUUCCAGAUUUACAAUGCCCAGAAAUCAUUCAAGAUAUCAAACAGUUAAUGAGUUUCCUAGUUCCCCAGAUAUUCCGCUGUUUGGAAAUACAGAAAGGAGUUCUGGGUCUCGAGUCUGUAACAUACUUCUUGGUUUCAUCACCAUCUUCGUUGUUAUCUUUACAAUGAUCAGUGCCUUCAUAUUCGAUAAAAAUUCUAGGAGAGGUUUGAAUAUCACACUGACAGUAGUUAUUGCGAUGCUAUGUGCAUCUCAUCUUUUCCUGAUAGUUUGGUAUCGCCAAGGUAAUAUGGAUCCAAAAUUCAAGAUACUCAUCUACUACAAUACAUUUUGCCUAACAUUGCUUUGUGUCUGUGCUAAUAUUUAUUUCCAUGGAGCAUAAGUUUCAGUGUGAGGGACAUUACGAAAGCUUACACGCAUGCACCAGCUGGUGACCUUCGACGAGCUCAGUAUUAAUGUCAACACCACAGGAACCAGGAACAAGUUCAAUGCUUGUUGCAGCUAGCAGAGUUGCAGUCUCUUAACUGUCCAGCAUUGUUUUAGAAUGGACGUCAGCCUCCUACAUGGAAAAGGAUUCAGUUGUGGGACAACAAACUGAGGACUACAGGUAGUCUGUUGCGUGUAAAAUCUCCUCGAAAGAAACGGACCUCUGAAGAAAAUAUUUAUCUCAUUGGAAAGGCAUUCCAGCAAAGUCUGCCCAAAUCAAUUCAUUGUGCUAGCUUGCAAUUACAAAUUCCACGUUCAACAGUGCACGGUAUGCUAAACAGAAGGCUCUGCCUAAGAAUCAUUCAAAUGAAUCAUACACUAAAACCCAGUGAACAAGUUUCAUGCACAAACUUCGCUGUGGACACGAUAGAAAGAAUUGACACAUCACCAAAUUUCCUCCACCAAGUGUGCUUCUUGUACGAGGUGAUGUUGCAUGUCAGUGGAGUUGUAAACAGGUACAGCUGGAGGAUUUGGGGCAGUCAGAAUCCACAUGUCACAUGUGAGUUGGAGAGAGGCAGCCCUGAAGUGAAUGUGUUGGCUGGCUUAAUACACGAGAAAUUGAUUGGACUGUGUUUCUUUUCAGAAAAGACUGUGACCAGACUUUCAUAUUUUGAUAUGCUGGAGCUGUAUGCGCUGCCCAAAUUACAAUCUCAAACUAUCCUCCAAUAAGAUGGGGUGCUGCCACAUUUCUCCCACAGUGUUAGGAAUCACUUGGACAGAGAGAUGGCUAGGAGAUGGAUCGGCAGAGAUGGACAUUGGACCAACAACAGCAAUAACAGCAAUCUACAUAUAAGGUAUUCUAUGUAACCAAGAGUAGAAAAGUAAGACUGUUAUGUUUCUGUGCUUCCACAGAAAUACUUUAAUUUAUUUUAACUAAUACUAAUGACCUUUAACAAACACACCUUAUUUUAAUUGCAUUCACGUUUUAGUCUCGAUUCUGAAUGCUUGCUGAAAUCCCCUUAUGAAGACUUAUGUUCAAAUACACGUGUAAAAUAUUUCUUUGUAGUGUUGUCUAGGCCUUUCGUGAUGGCCUGUAGAUGCCAAAACAUGUAAAGGGAGA